GGAACAGGAAGGCUGAAGGGGAGACACUGCCACCCGCCUCCAUGAGAAGAUGUUAAGAUACCGUGGCCACAGUGGGAACCGAAAGCCAGAAGCUCAUCCGGGAAUCUGCCAGUCAGGGACUCCAACACGACUGUUUCAGGAAGACUUCCCAAGGCACGUCUGCCAGAUGCUAGCAGUUUAUGAUUUGACGGGGUUCUGUUAUCAACUACUUGCUAAUUUCUCUUACUUUUGCUUCCUGUAUACUUAAUAAAUUAACUCAUUUGAAAUUACA